CAAUAGCGUAUAUUUAAGUUGCUGCAGUUAAAAAGCUCGUAGUUGGAUUUCGGGUGGGAAUGGCCGGUCCGCCGUUUCGGUGUGCACUUGCUACGCCCACCUUGCUGCCGGGGACGUGCUCUUGAGUUCACGCUCGGGACACGGAGUCGGCGAGGUUACUUUGAGUAAAUUAGAGUGUUCAAAGCAGGCCUACGCUCUGAAUACAUUAGCAUGGAAUAACACGAUAGGACUCUGGCCUAUCUUGUUGGUCUGUAGGACCGGAGUAAUGAUUAAGAGGGACAGUCGGGGGCACUCGUAUUUCAUUGUCAGAGGUGAAAUUCUUGGAUUUAUGAAAGACGAACUACUGCGAAAGCAUUUGCCGAGGAUGUUUUCAUUAA
rnacentral:rRNA from 1 species